rnacentral:rRNA from 3 species
GGGUUGUGAGGUUAAGCGACUAAGCGUACACGGUGGAUGCCCUGGCAGUCAGAGGCGAUGAAGGGCGUGCUAAUCUGCGAUAAGCGCCGGUAAGGUGAUAUGAACCGUUAUAACCGGCGAUACCCGAAUGGGGAAACCCAGUGUGACUCGUCACACUAUCAUUAACUGAAUCCAUAGGUUAAUGAGGCGAACCGGGGGAACUGAAACAUCUAAGUACCCCGAGGAAAAGAAAUCAACCGAGAUUCCCCCAGUAGCGGCGAGCGAACGGGGAGGAGCCCAGAGCCUGAAUCAGCAUGUGUGUUAGUGGAAGCGUCUGGAAAGGCGCGCGAUACAGGGUGACAGCCCCGUACACAAAAGCGCAUGUGCUGUGAGCUCGAUGAGUAGGGCGGGACACGUGGUAUCCUGUCUGAAUAUGGGGGGACCAUCCUCCAAGGCUAAAUACUCCUGACUGACCGAUAGUGAACCAGUACCGUGAGGGAAAGGCGAAAAGAACCCCGGCGAGGGGAGUGAAAAAGAACCUGAAACCGUGUACGUACAAGCAGUGGGAGCCCCACCACUAAGCCAGUGGUGAACUCCACAUCCGCAUCCUUUGCUGAGGAUACGGUUAACGGAGCGAAAGCGACGUUCAACCGCAAAACAAGCAGAGGGGGCUUAGUGGUGGGGUGACUGCGUACCUUUUGUAUAAUGGGUCAGCGACUUAUAUUCUGUAGCAAGGUUAACCGUAUAGGGGAGCCGGAGGGAAACCGAGUCUUAAUUGGGCGUUAAGUUGCAGGGUAUAGACCCGAAACCCGGUGAUCUAGCCAUGGGCAGGUUGAAGGUUGGGUAACACUAACUGGAGGACCGAACCGACUAAUGUUGAAAAAUUAGCGGAUGACCUGUGGCUGGGGGUGAAAGGCCAAUCAAACCGGGAGAUAGCUGGUUCUCCCCGAAAGCUAUUUAGGUAGCGCCUCGUGAAUUCAUCUCCGGGGGUAGAGCACUGUUUCGGCUAGGGGGCCAUCCCGGCUUACCAACCCGAUGCAAACUGCGAAUACCGGAGAAUGUUAUCACGGGAGACACACGGCGGGUGCUAACGUCCGUCGUGAAGAGGGAAACAACCCAGACCGCCAGCUAAGGUCCCAAAGUCAUGGUUAAGUGGGAAACGAUGUGGGAAGGCCCAGACAGCCAGGAUGUUGGCUUAGAAGCAGCCAUCAUUUAAAGAAAGCGUAAUAGCUCACUGGUCGAGUCGGCCUGCGCGGAAGAUGUAACGGGGCUAAACCAUGCACCGAAGCUGCGGCAGCGAACGUAUCACCCAAGACAACUUUACGGAGUUGACGAUUGACGGAGCGAAGCGACGUCAAAGCGUUCAUUAAAGUCGAGUUGGCUUAGGGAUACGUUCGUUGGGUAGGGGAGCGUUCUGUAAGCCUGUGAAGGUGUGUCGUGAGGCAUGCUGGAGGUAUCAGAAGUGCGAAUGCUGACAUAAGUAACGAUAAAGCGGGUGAAAAGCCCGCUCGCCGGAAGACCAAGGGUUCCUGUCCAACGUUAAUCGGGGCAGGGUGAGUCGACCCCUAAGGCGAGGCCGAAAGGCGUAGUCGAUGGGAAACGGGUUAAUAUUCCCGUACUUGGUGUUACUGCGAAGGGGGGACGGAGAAGGCUAUGUUGGCCGGGCGACGGUUGUCCCGGUUUAAGCGUGUAGGUGUGUGUUCCAGGUAAAUCCGGUUCACUUUAACACUGAGGCGUGACGACGAGGCACUACGGUGCUGAAGCAACAAAUGCCCUGCUUCCAGGAAAAGCCUCUAAGCAUCAGGUAACACGAAAUCGUACCCCAAACCGACACAGGUGGUCAGGUAGAGAAUACCAAGGCGCUUGAGAGAACUCGGGUGAAGGAACUAGGCAAAAUGGUGCCGUAACUUCGGGAGAAGGCACGCUGACACGUAGGUGAAGUGAUUUACUCAUGGAGCUGAAGUCAGUCGAAGAUACCAGCUGGCUGCAACUGUUUAUUAAAAACACAGCACUGUGCAAACACGAAAGUGGACGUAUACGGUGUGACGCCUGCCCGGUGCCGGAAGGUUAAUUGAUGGGGUCAGCGCAAGCGAAGCUCCUGAUCGAAGCCCCGGUAAACGGCGGCCGUAACUAUAACGGUCCUAAGGUAGCGAAAUUCCUUGUCGGGUAAGUUCCGACCUGCACGAAUGGCGUAAUGAUGGCCAGGCUGUCUCCACCCGAGACUCAGUGAAAUUGAACUCGCUGUGAAGAUGCAGUGUACCCGCGGCAAGACGGAAAGACCCCGUGAACCUUUACUAUAGCUUGACACUGAACAUUGAGCCUUGAUGUGUAGGAUAGGUGGGAGGCUUUGAAGUGUGGACGCCAGUCUGCAUGGAGCCGACCUUGAAAUACCACCCUUUAAUGUUUGAUGUUCUAACGUGGACCCGUAAUCCGGGUUGCGGACAGUGUCUGGUGGGUAGUUUGACUGGGGCGGUCUCCUCCUAAAGAGUAACGGAGGAGCACGAAGGUUGGCUAAUCCUGGUCGGACAUCAGGAGGUUAGUGCAAUGGCAUAAGCCAGCUUGACUGCGAGCGUGACGGCGCGAGCAGGUGCGAAAGCAGGUCAUAGUGAUCCGGUGGUUCUGAAUGGAAGGGCCAUCGCUCAACGGAUAAAAGGUACUCCGGGGAUAACAGGCUGAUACCGCCCAAGAGUUCAUAUCGACGGCGGUGUUUGGCACCUCGAUGUCGGCUCAUCACAUCCUGGGGCUGAAGUAGGUCCCAAGGGUAUGGCUGUUCGCCAUUUAAAGUGGUACGCGAGCUGGGUUUAGAACGUCGUGAGACAGUUCGGUCCCUAUCUGCCGUGGGCGCUGGAGAACUGAGGGGGGCUGCUCCUAGUACGAGAGGACCGGAGUGGACGCAUCACUGGUGUUCGGGUUGUCAUGCCAAUGGCACUGCCCGGUAGCUAAAUGCGGAAGAGAUAAGUGCUGAAAGCAUCUAAGCACGAAACUUGCCCCGAGAUGAGUUCUCCCUGAGACUUAGAGUCUCCUGAAGGAACGUUGAAGACGACGACGUUGAUAGGCCGGGUGUGUAAGCGCAGCGAUGCGUUGAGCUAACCGGUACUAAUGAACCGUGAGGCUUAACCUUACAACGCCGAAG